rnacentral:rRNA from 1 species
AUUGAACGCUGGCGGCAGGCCUAACACAUGCAAGUCGAACGGUAACAGGAAGAAGCUUGCUUCUUUGCUGACGAGUGGCGGACGGGUGAGUCAUGUCUGUGAAACUGCCUGAUCGAGGGGGAUAACUACUGGAAACGGUAGCUAAUACCGCAUAACGUCGCAAGACCAAAGAGGGGGACCUUCGGGCCUCUUGCCAUCGGAUGUGCCCAGAUGGGAUUAGCUAGUAGGUGGGGUAACGGCUCACCUAGGCGACGAUCCCUAGCUGGUCUGAGAGGAUGACCGGCCACACUGGAACUGAGACACGGUCCAGACUCCUACGGGAGGCAGCAGUGGGGAAUAUUGCACAAUGGGCGCAAGCCUGAUGCAGCCAUGCCGCGUGUAUGAAGAAGGCCUUCGGGUUGUAAAGUACUUUCAGCGGGGAGGAAGGGAGUAAAGUUAAUACCUUUGCUCAUUGACGUUACCCGCAGAAGAAGCACCGGCUAACUCCGUG